rnacentral:rRNA from 1 species
GACGAACGCUGGCGGCGUGCUUAACACAUGCAAGUCGAACGGAAAGGCCCUGCUUUUGUGGGGUGCUCGAGUGGCGAACGGGUGAGUAACACGUGAGUAACCUGCCCUUGACUUUGGGAUAACUUCAGGAAACUGGGGCUAAUACCGGAUAGGAGCUCCUGCUGCAUGGUGGGGGUUGGAAAGUUUCGGCGGUUGGGGAUGGACUCGCGGCUUAUCAGCUUGUUGGUGGGGUAGUGGCUUACCAAGGCUUUGACGGGUAGCCGGCCUGAGAGGGUGACCGGCCACAUUGGGACUGCGAUACGGCCCAGACUCCUACGGUAGGCAGCAGUGGGGAAUAUUACACAAUGGGCGGACGCCUGAUGCAGCAACGCCGCGUGCGGGAUGACGGGUUUCGGGUUGUAAACCGCUUUCGCCUGUGACGAAGCGUGAGUGACGGUAAUGGGUAAAGAAGCACCGGCUAACUACGUG